rnacentral:rRNA from 1 species
UAACGGCCCACCAAGGCGACAAUCGGUAGCUGGUCUGAGAGGAUGAUCAGCCUCACUGGAACUGAGACACGGCCCAGACUCCUACUGGGGGGAAUAUUGGACAAUGGGCGCAAGCCUGAUCCAGCCAUGCCGCGUGGGUGAUGAAGGCCUUAGGGUUGUAAAGCCCUUUCGGCGGGGAAGAUAAUGACGGUACCCGCAAAAGAAGCCCCGGCUAACUUCGUGCCACCGGCCGCGGUAAUACAAAGGGGGCUAGCGUUGUCCCGAAUUAUUGGGCGUAAAGAGCGUGUAGGCGGCCCCAUUAAUCCGCUGUGAAAGUCCAGGGCUCAACCCUGGAAUGCCGGUGGAUACUGUGGGGCUAGAGUCCGGAAGGGGCGAGUGGAAUUCCUGGUGUAGCGGUGAAAUG